UACGAAGGGUGCAAGCGUUACUCGGAAUUACUGGGCGUAAAGCGUGCGUAGGGGGUUUGUUAAGUCUGUCGUGAAAGCCCUGGGCUCAACCUGGGAACUGCGAUGGAAACUGGCUAACUAGAAUGUGGUAGAGGGUAGCGGAAUUCCUGGUGUAGCAGUGAAAUGCGUAGAUAUCAGGAGGAACAUCCAUGGCGAAGGCAGCUACCUGGGCCAACAUUGACACUGAGGCACGAAAGCGUGGGGAGCAAACAGG
rnacentral:rRNA from 1 species